rnacentral:rRNA from 1 species
AGAACGAACGCUGGCGGCAGGCUUAACACAUGCAAGUCGAGCGCCUCGCAAGAGGAGCGGCAGACGGGUGAGUAACACGUGGGAACGUGCCCAAAGGUACGGAACAACUCCGGGAAACUGGAGCUAAUACCGUAUGUGCCCGAAAGGGGAAAGAUUUAUCGCCUUUGGAUCGGCCCGCGUCUGAUUAGCUAGUUGGCGGGGUAAUGGCCCACCAAGGCGACGAUCAGUAGCUGGUCUGAGAGGAUGACCAGCCACAUUGGGACUGAGACACGGUCCAGACUCCUACGGGAGGCAGCAGUGGGGAAUCUUGCGCAAUGGGCGAAAGCCUGACGCAGCAACGCCGCGUGGGGGAUGAAGCUUCUCGGAGUGUAAACCCCUUUCGACCCGGACGAAUGCCCGCAAGGGUUUGACGGUACGGUAUAAGAAGCCCCGGCUAACUACGUGCCAGCAGCCGC